CAUCAUUUCAAAGAGACCGAAUUGAAGAGGUUUCCUCAGUGCUAAACACAUCAUCCUAAGAAACUGAAUCUCACUAGAAAUCCACCCAAGUCUGACGACUGCAUAUCUGCCUGGUGAACCCACUCGCAAAGUCUCAGUCCCCAACCGUCGGAGCUGCCGCUGUACGCGGGACGGAGAAAAG